rnacentral:rRNA from 1 species
ACGGAAGGCAGCAGUGGGGAAUAUUGCACAAUGGGCGCGAGCCUGAUGCAGCGAUGCCGCGUGAGGGAAGUAGGUUUUCGGAUUGUAAACCUCUGUCAACAGGGACGAUAAUGACUGUACCUGUGAAGGAAGCUCCGGCUAACUACGUGCCAGCAGCCGCGGUAAUACGUAGGGAGCAAGCGUUAUCCGGAAUUACUGGGUGUAAAGGGAGUGUAGGCGGGACUGUAAGUCAGAUGUGAAAUAUGCCGGCUCAACUGGCAGACUGCAUUUGAAACUGCGGUGCCUGAGUGAAGUAGAGGUAAGCGGAAUUCCUAGUGUAGCGGUGAAAUGCGUAGAUAUUAGGAGGAACAUCAGUGGCGAAGGCGGCUUACUGGGCUUUAACUGACGCUGAGGCUCGAAAGCGUGGGGAGCAAACAGGAUUAGAUACCCUGGUA